CAGUAGCCGCGGGAAUACAGAGGGUGCGAGCGUUAAUCGGAUUUACUGGGCGUAAAGCGUGCGUAGGCGGCUUCUUAAGUCGGAUGUGAAAUCCCUGAGCUUAACUUAGGAAUUGCAUUCGAUACUGGGAAGCUAGAGUAUGGGAGAGGAUGGUAGAAUUCCAGGUGUAGCGGUGAAAUGCGUAGAGAUCUGGAGGAAUACCGAUGGCGAAGGCAGCCAUCUGGCCUAACACUGACGCUGAGGUACGAAAGCAUGGGGAGCAAACAGGAUUAGAUACCCCCGUAGUCCCUGUCUCUUAUAC
rnacentral:rRNA from 1 species